rnacentral:rRNA from 1 species
GAUGAACGCUGGCGGCGUGCCUAAUACAUGCAAGUCGAGCGAACAGAUGAGGAGCUUGCUCCUCUGACGUUAGCGGCGGACGGGUGAGUAACACGUGGAUAACCUACCUAUAAGACUGGGAUAACUUCGGGAAGCCGGAGCUAAUACCGGAUAAUAUAUUGAACCGCAUGGUUCAAUAGUGAAAGACGGUUUUGCUGUCACUUAUAGAUGGAUCCGCGCCGCAUUAGCUAGUUGGUAAGGUAACGGCUUACCAAGGCAACGAUGCGUAGCCGACCUGAGAGGGUGAUCGGCCACACUGGAACUGAGACACGGUCCAGACUCCUACGGGUGGCAGCAGUAGGGAAUCUUCCGCAAUGGGCGAAAGCCUGACGGAGCAACGCCGCGUGAGUGAUGAAGGUCUUCGGAUCGUAAAACUCUGUUAUUAGGGAAGAACAAAUGUGUAAGUAACUAUGCACGUCUUGACGGUACCUAAUCAGAAAGCCACGGCUAACUACGUG